AAACCUUGAACAUCCCAUCUUUAAGCCUAGGUACAGAGGAUCUGCUCAAGAAAUAUUUGCAGAAUCCAUUUGAAUGUUGCUGAGUCCUGCAGGUUUAGGAAACUCUCCAGAAGUGUGGCAAGACUUCUUCAACACUGAUGUGAUAUUGAGUGGUGAGAAGGAUGCUCUCUCUAAACUGCUUUUCAGCUCUUCUGCCAUGACCUGUCCAGGCUGUCUGCACCAAGGCCACAUAUGGAGAAGACCCACCCCCACCAAAAAGACCAAGAACCCACCAUGGAGGGAAGAGCUUCAUGGACAGUAGCAUGGCCAGUUGCAUGGAGAAAGGUCCUAGGCCUGCAUUCUAGAUUUAUGUCAACAUCCCAAAUCUAUGCCAAGACUGGACAACUGGUGUCAACUUUUG
rnacentral:lncRNA from 10 species